UACGGAGGGUGCAAGCAUUAAUCGGAAUUAUUGGGCGUAAAGGGCGCGUAGGCGGAUAUAUAAGUCAGAUGUGAAAUUCCGAGGCUCAACUUCGGAGCCGCAUUUGGAACUAUAAAUCUCGAGGAUUGGCGGAGAGAACGGAAUUCCACGUGUAGCGGUGAAAUGCGUAGAUAUGUGGAAGAACACCGGUGGCGAAAGCGGUUCUCUAGCUAAUAACUGACGUUGAGGCGCGAGAGCAAGGGGAGCAAACAGG
rnacentral:rRNA from 1 species